UACGAAGGGGGCUAGCGUUGUUCGGAAUCACUGGGCGUAAAGGGCGCGUAGGCGGCUUUAUAAGUCGGGGGUGAAAGCCUGUGGCUCAACCACAGAAUUGCCUUCGAUACUGUAGAGCUUGAGACCGGAAGAGGUUAGUGGAACUGCGAGUGUAGAGGUGAAAUUCGUAGAUAUUCGCAAGAACACCAGUGGCGAAGGCGGCUCACUGGGUCAUUACUGACGCUGAGGCACGGAAAGCGAUGGGGGAGCAAACAGGGAUUAAGAUAACCCUA
rnacentral:rRNA from 1 species